rnacentral:rRNA from 1 species
GACGAACGCUGGCGGCGUGCCUAAUACAUGCAAGUAGAACGCUGAAGAGAGGAGCUUGCUCUUCUUGGAUGAGUUGCGAACGGGUGAGUAACGCGUAGGUAACCUGCCUUGUAGCGGGGGAUAACUAUUGGAAACGAUAGCUAAUACCGCAUAACAAUGGAUGACACAUGUCAUUUAUUUGAAAGGGGCAAUUGCUCCACUACAAGAUGGACCUGCGUUGUAUUAGCUAGUAGGUGAGGUAAUGGCUCACCUAGGCGACGAUACAUAGCCGACCUGAGAGGGUGAUCGGCCACACUGGGACUGAGACACGGCCCAGACUCCUACGGGAGGCAGCAGUAGGGAAUCUUCGGCAAUGGGGGCAACCCUGACCGAGCAACGCCGCGUGAGUGAAGAAGGUCUUCGGAUCGUAAAGCUCUGUUGUAAGUCAAGAACGGGUGUGAGAGUGGAAAGUUCACACUGUGACGGUAGCUGACCAGAAAGGGACGGCUAACUACGUG